UGGCUCAGUGGUUAAGAGCACUGGCUGCUCUUCCAGAGGACCAGGGUUUGAAUCCCUG
rnacentral:tRNA from 1 species